ACUAUAUCUGAACCCGAAUUAAAUUUACAUUAAUAUGAUAUAUAUAAAUAUUUGAUAUUAUAUUUUAACAUGUACUUUAAAAAUUUAGAUUUUAAUAUAGUAUGUUUUGAAAUAUGAUAAAGAGAUAUAAUUGUUUCCGGUUCAAACUUUUGGUUGGUUUCGAAUUUGGAUAUGAAUUUUUAAAAUCUAUCGAAUUCGGAUUUCGGGUUCAGGUUCGGGUUUUGAAAAAGCCAUCCCC
rnacentral:lncRNA from 1 species